rnacentral:rRNA from 1 species
UUAAGCGACUAAGCGUACACGGUGGAUGCCCUGGCAGUCAGAGGCGAUGAAGGACGUGCUAAUCUGCGAUAAGCGUCGGUAAGGUGAUAUGAACCGUUAUAACCGGCGAUUUCCGAAUGGGGAAACCCAGUGUGAUUCGUCACACUAUCAUUAACUGAAUCCAUAGGUUAAUGAGGCGAACCGGGGGAACUGAAACAUCUAAGUACCCCGAGGAAAAGAAAUCAACCGAGAUUCCCCCAGUAGCGGCGAGCGAACGGGGAGCAGCCCAGAGCCUGAAUCAGUAUGUGUGUUAGUGGAAGCGUCUGGAAAGGCGCGCGAUACAGGGUGACAGCCCCGUACACAAAAAUGCACAUGCUGUGAGCUCGAUGAGUAGGGCGGGACACGUGGUAUCCUGUCUGAAUAUGGGGGGACCAUCCUCCAAGGCUAAAUACUCCUGACUGACCGAUAGUGAACCAGUACCGUGAGGGAAAGGCGAAAAGAACCCCGGCGAGGGGAGUGAAAAAGAACCUGAAACCGUGUACGUACAAGCAGUGGGAGCACAGAGCAAUCUGUGUGACUGCGUACCUUUUGUAUAAUGGGUCAGCGACUUAUAUUCUGUAGCAAGGUUAACCGAAUAGGGGAGCCGAAGGGAAACCGAGUCUUAACUGGGCGUUAAGUUGCAGGGUAUAGACCCGAAACCCGGUGAUCUAGCCAUGGGCAGGUUGAAGGUUGGGUAACACUAACUGGAGGACCGAACCGACUAAUGUUGAAAAAUUAGCGGAUGACUUGUGGCUGGGGGUGAAAGGCCAAUCAAACCGGGAGAUAGCUGGUUCUCCCCGAAAGCUAUUUAGGUAGCGCCUCGUGAAUUCAUCUCCGGGGGUAGAGCACUGUUUCGGCAAGGGGGUCAUCCCGACUUACCAACCCGAUGCAAACUGCGAAUACCGGAGAAUGUUAUCACGGGAGACACACGGCGGGUGCUAACGUCCGUCGUGAAGAGGGAAACAACCCAGACCGCCAGCUAAGGUCCCAAAGUCAUGGUUAAGUGGGAAACGAUGUGGGAAGGCCCAGACAGCCAGGAUGUUGGCUUAGAAGCAGCCAUCAUUUAAAGAAAGCGUAAUAGCUCACUGGUCGAGUCGGCCUGCGCGGAAGAUGUAACGGGGCUAAACCAUGCACCGAAGCUGCGGCAGCGACGCUGAUGCGUUGUUGGGUAGGGGAGCGUUCUGUAAGCCUGUGAAGGUGUGCUGUGAGGCAUGCUGGAGGUAUCAGAAGUGCGAAUGCUGACAUAAGUAACGAUAAAGCGGGUGAAAAGCCCGCUCGCCGGAAGACCAAGGGUUCCUGUCCAACGUUAAUCGGGGCAGGGUGAGUCGACCCCUAAGGCGAGGCCGAAAGGCGUAGUCGAUGGGAAACAGGUUAAUAUUCCUGUACUUGGUGUUACUGCGAAGGGGGGACGGAGAAGGCUAUGUUGGCCGGGCGACGGUUGUCCCGGUUUAAGCGUGUAGGCUGGUUUUCCAGGCAAAUCCGGAAAAUCAAGGCUGAGGCGUGAUGACGAGGCACUACGGUGCUGAAGCAACAAAUGCCCUGCUUCCAGGAAAAGCCUCUAAGCAUCAGGUAACAUCAAAUCGUACCCCAAACCGACACAGGUGGUCAGGUAGAGAAUACCAAGGCGCUUGAGAGAACUCGGGUGAAGGAACUAGGCAAAAUGGUGCCGUAACUUCGGGAGAAGGCACGCUGAUAUGUAGGUGAAGUCCCUCGCGGAUGGAGCUGAAAUCAGUCGAAGAUACCAGCUGGCUGCAACUGUUUAUUAAAAACACAGCACUGUGCAAACACGAAAGUGGACGUAUACGGUGUGACGCCUGCCCGGUGCCGGAAGGUUAAUUGAUGGGGUCAGCGCAAGCGAAGCUCUUGAUCGAAGCCCCGGUAAACGGCGGCCGUAACUAUAACGGUCCUAAGGUAGCGAAAUUCCUUGUCGGGUAAGUUCCGACCUGCACGAAUGGCGUAAUGAUGGCCAGGCUGUCUCCACCCGAGACUCAGUGAAAUUGAACUCGCUGUGAAGAUGCAGUGUACCCGCGGCAAGACGGAAAGACCCCGUGAACCUUUACUAUAGCUUGACACUGAACAUUGAGCCUUGAUGUGUAGGAUAGGUGGGAGGCUUUGAAGUGUGGACGCCAGUCUGCAUGGAGCCGACCUUGAAAUACCACCCUUUAAUGUUUGAUGUUCUAACGUUGACCCGUAAUCCGGGUUGCGGACAGUGUCUGGUGGGUAGUUUGACUGGGGCGGUCUCCUCCUAAAGAGUAACGGAGGAGCACGAAGGUUGGCUAAUCCUGGUCGGACAUCAGGAGGUUAGUGCAAUGGCAUAAGCCAGCUUGACUGCGAGCGUGACGGCGCGAGCAGGUGCGAAAGCAGGUCAUAGUGAUCCGGUGGUUCUGAAUGGAAGGGCCAUCGCUCAACGGAUAAAAGGUACUCCGGGGAUAACAGGCUGAUACCGCCCAAGAGUUCAUAUCGACGGCGGUGUUUGGCACCUCGAUGUCGGCUCAUCACAUCCUGGGGCUGAAGUAGGUCCCAAGGGUAUGGCUGUUCGCCAUUUAAAGUGGUACGCGAGCUGGGUUUAGAACGUCGUGAGACAGUUCGGUCCCUAUCUGCCGUGGGCGCUGGAGAACUGAGGGGGGCUGCUCCUAGUACGAGAGGACCGGAGUGGACGCAUCACUGGUGUUCGGGUUGUCAUGCCAAUGGCACUGCCCGGUAGCUAAAUGCGGAAGAGAUAAGUGCUGAAAGCAUCUAAGCACGAAACUUGCCCCGAGAUGAGUUCUCCCUGACUCCUUGAGAGUCCUGAAGGAACGUUGAAGACGACGACGUUGAUAGGCCGG